GACGAACGCUGGCGGCGUGCUCAACACAUGCAAGUCGAACGGAAAGGCCCUGCUUUUGUGGGGUGCUCGAGUGGCGAACGGGUGAGUAACACGUGAGUAACCUGCCCUUGACUUUGGGAUAACUUCAGGAAACUGGGGCUAAUACCGGAUAGGAGCUCCUGCUGCAUGGUGGGGGUUGGAAAGUUUCGGCGGUUGGGGAUGGACUCGCGGCUUAUCAGCUUGUUGGUGGGGUAGUGGCUUACCAAGGCUUUGACGGGUAGCCGGCCUGAGAGGGUGACCGGCCACAUUGGGACUGAGAUACGGCCCAGACUCCUACGGGAGGCAGCAGUGGGAAAUAUUGCACAAUGGGCGGAAGCCUGAUGCAGCAACGCCGCGUGCGGGAUGACGGCCUUCGGGUUGUAAACCGCUUUCGCCUGUGACGAAGCGUGAGUGACGGUAAUGGGUAAAGAAGCACCGGCUAACUACGUG
rnacentral:rRNA from 1 species